UACGAAGGGGGCUAGCGUUGCUCGGAAUCACUGGGCGUAAAGCGCACGUAGGCGGCUUUCUAAGUCAGGGGUGAAAUCCUGGAGCUCAACUCCAGAACUGCCUUUGAUACUGGAGAGCUUGAGUCCGGAAGAGGUGAGUGGAACUCCGAGUGUAGAGGUGAAAUUCGUAGAUAUUCGGAAGAACACCAGUGGCGAAGGCGGCCCACUGGUCCGGUACUGACGCUGAGGUGCGAAAGCGUGGGGAGCGAACAGG
rnacentral:rRNA from 1 species